CUUGCGCUAUCAGAUGAGCCUAGGUCGGAUUAGCUAGUUGGUGGGGUAAUGGCUCACCAAGGCGACGAUCCGUAACUGGUCUGAGAGGAUGAUCAGUCACACUGGAACUGAGACACGGUCCAGACUCCUACGGGAGGCAGCAGUGGGGAAUAUUGGACAAUGGGCGAAAGCCUGAUCCAGCCAUGCCGCGUGUGUGAAGAAGGUCUUCGGAUUGUAAAGCACUUUAAGUUGGGAGGAAGGGCAGUUGCCUAAUACGUAACUGUUUUGACGUUACCGACAGAAUAAGCACCGGCUAACUCUGUGCCAGCAGCCGCGGUAAUACAGAGGGUGCAAGCGUUAAUCGGAAUUACUGGGCGUAAAGCGCGCGUAGGUGGUUUGUUAAGUUGGAUGUGAAAUCCCCGGGCUCAACCUGGGAACUGCAUUCAAAACUGACUGACUAGAGUAUGGUAGAGGGUGGUGGAAUUUCCUGUGUAGCGGUGA
rnacentral:rRNA from 1 species